rnacentral:tRNA from 1 species
GCGGGUAUAGUUUAGUGGUAGAACGUCAGCCUUCCAAGCUGAAUACGGGAGUUCGAUUCUCCCUACCCGCA